UACGGAGGGUGCAAGCGUUAAUCGGAAUUACUGGGCGUAAAGGGUGCGUAGGUGGUUUGAUAAGUUAUCUGUGAAAUACCUGGGCUUAACCUGGGCAGGUCAGAUAAGACUGUUAGACUAGAGUAUGGGAGAGGGUAGAGGAAUUUCCGGUGUAGCGGUGAAAUGCGUAGAUAUCGGAAGGAACACCAGUGGCGAAAGCGGCUUCCUGGUCCAGCACCGACAUUCAGGCACGAAAGCGUGGGGAGCGAACAGG
rnacentral:rRNA from 1 species